rnacentral:rRNA from 1 species
AGCGAACGCUGGCGGCAGGCUUAACACAUGCAAGCCGAGCGGGCGUAGCAAUACGUCAGCGGCAGACGGGUGAGUAACGCGUGGGAACAUACCUUUUGGUUCGGAACAACACAGGGAAACUUGUGCUAAUACCGGAUAAGCCCUUACGGGGAAAGAUUUAUCGCCGAAAGAUUGGCCCGCGUCUGAUUAGCUAGUUGGUGAGGUAACGGCUCACCAAGGCGACGAUCAGUAGCUGGUCUGAGAGGAUGAUCAGCCACAUUGGGACUGAGACACGGCCCAAACUCCUACGGGAGGCAGCAGUGGGGAAUAUUGGACAAUGGGCGCAAGCCUGAUCCAGCCAUGCCGCGUGAGUGAUGAAGGCCCUAGGGUUGUAAAGCUCUUUUGUGCGGGAAGAUAAUGACGGUACCGCAAGAAUAAG